GACGAACGCUGGCGGCGUGCCUAAUACAUGCAAGUCGAACGCAGUGGGGACGGGUGAGUAACACGUGGGUAACCUCCCAUCAGAGGGGAUAACACUUGGAAACAGGUGCUAAACCGAUAUUGAUGGAUUGACCCGGUGUGCAUUAGCUAGUUGGUGGGGUAACGGCUCACCAAGGCCACGAUGCAUAGCCGAGCUGAGAGGGUGAUCGGCCACACUGGAACUGAGACACGGCCCAGACUCCUACGGGAGGCAGCAGUAGGGAAUAUUGGGCAAUGGACGAAAGUCUGAUCGAGCAACGCCGCGUGAGUGAAGAAGGUUUUCGGAUCGUAAAACUCUUUUGUUAGAGAAGCGGUAUCUAACGAGAAAGCCACGGCUAACUACGUGCCAGCAGCCGCGGUAAUUC
rnacentral:rRNA from 1 species